ACUGACGUGGGCAAGUGGUUUAAGCCACCUCAAUUUCACUGAGGAGAUCGCGAGUUCAAAUCUCGUCGUCAGUACCA
rnacentral:tRNA from 2 species